rnacentral:rRNA from 1 species
UACGUAGGUGGCAAGCGUUGUCCGGAUUUACUGGGCGUAAAGAGCGCGCAGGCGGUCGUGCAAGUCGCGUGUGAAAGCCCCCGGCUCAACUGGGGAGGGUCACGCGAUACUGCUCGACUCGAAGGCAGGAGAGGGAAGUGGAAUUCCCGGUGUAGUGGUGAAAUGCGUAGAUAUCGGGAGGAACACCAGCGGCGAAGGCGACUUCCUGGCCUGUUCUUGACGCUGAGGCGCGAAAGCUAGGGUAGCAAACGGG